GACGAACGCUGGCGGCGUGCUUAACACAUGCAAGUCGAACGGAAAGGCCCUGCUUUUGUGGGGUGCUCGAGUGGCGCACGGGUGAGUAACACGUGAGUAACCUGCCCUUGACUUUGGGAUAACUUCAGGAAACUGGGGCUAAUACCGGAUAGGAGCUCCUGCUGCAUGGUGGGGGUUGGAAAGUUUCGGCGGUUGUGGAUGGACUCGCGGCUUAUCAGCUUGUUGGUGUGGUAGUGGCUUACCAAGGCUUUGACGGGUAGGCGGCCUGAGAGGGUGACCGGCCACAUUGGGACUGAGAUACGGCCCAGACUCCUACGGGAGGCAGCAGUGGGGAAUAUUGCACAAUGGGCGGAAGCCUGAUGCAGCAACGCCGCGUGCGGGAUGACGGCCUUCGGGUUGUAAACCGCUUUGGCCUGUGACGAAGCGUGAGUGACGGUAAUGGGUAAAGAAGCACCGGCUAACUACGUG
rnacentral:rRNA from 1 species